GUGCUUGCUUUGGCAGCACAUAUACUAAAAUUGGAAUGAUACGAGAAGAUUAGCAUGGCCCCUGUGCAAAGAAAAAUAGAACAGAAGCGGGGGUGGGGGGCAUAUGU